UGCACAGUUAAAACAAUUACUUUACUGUCUUGACAAUUCAUUCAUUAAGCUACAUUGCUCUGCCUCAUGUUUUCCGUUUGAAAAGUUAAAUAUAUGUGCAUCUCGCAGCGUGCAGGCCCUGCGUUUGCUGUUCGAGGUGGAGGCAACACGGAAAUGACUCAGUCUAGUGCUGUUACAGAAUGUGCAGAGGAGGUGCAGCAUGUACAGUCUGUGCCGUUGGAGAAGGAGAAGGACUACUUAGAUUUUGUGCUACCCUCUUUUGACCAUUACGAAAGUGCUUCGUAGAAAAGUCCCGAUUAAUUGUGCAGUGCGACGUGCCAUUAUCAACAAGCUGUUUGCAGCUUGCUUCAAGAUAGCUUGGUACCCUUCUAGACAGUUGUACCGCGUAGCUGCCGAGAGGCUUGUCAGUGCAUACCCACACCUUGCUGACAAAGUUGGCAGCGGAAAUG